AUAUUUACCUGGCAGGGGAGACACCAUGAUCAGGCAGGUAGGUGGUUUUCCCAGGGCAAGGCUCAUCCCUUGCGCUCUGGGUGUGCUGACCCCUGCAAUUUCCCCAAAUGCGGGAAACUUCUUUACUUUUUCUUUUUCCCCGCCUGGACAAGGUCCUGUGCAGC
rfam:Opisthocomus hoazin contig5129, whole genome shotgun sequence.